UGGGGAAUUUUGGACAAUGGGGGCAACACUGAUCCAGCAAUGCCGCGUGUGUGAAGAAGGCCUUCGGGUUGUAAAGCACUUUUGUCCGGGAAGAAAUCCUUUUCGAUAAUACCGAGGGGGGAUGACGGUACCGGAAGAAUAAGCACCGGCUAACUACGUGCCAGCAGCCGCGGUAAUACGUAGGGUGCGAGCGUUAAUCGGAAUUACUGGGCGUAAAGCGUGCGCAGGCGGUGAUGUAAGACCGAUGUGAAAUCCCCGGGCUUAACCUGGGAACUGCAUUGGUGACUGCAUCGCUGGAGUAUGGCAGAGGGGGGUAGAAUUCCACGUGUAGCAGUGAAAUGCGUAGAGAUGUGGAGGAAUACCGAUGGCGAAGGCAGCCCCCUGGGCCAAUACUGACGCUCAUGCACGAAAGCGUGGGGAGCAAACAGG
rnacentral:rRNA from 1 species